GGAUGCUGCUGAGGGAGCUGCACUUUGGAGAGGGGGCAGGAACUGCGGGUUGGUGCGCGCCCAAGAGCAAGAGACUCCUACGUGUCCUGUGGAGGCCCCAUCGCACUAACCAGGACUCCCUGGAUGCCACAGUGCGUCAGGACUUGUCUCGUUCCAGUCCCUUGGAUACACUCUUUCCCAAUAUGCACCGUCUUCCUCCCACCAGCAGAAGCUACCAUCUCAGCCUCAGCUCCCUCCAGUACUCAGGGUCACGCUUUGAGGCUUUGAGGACGCAGCCUAGUCGCCACCCGCGCCGGGCAGCUGCUGCUGGUGACCAGCGCCAUCCCCGGCCUUCCGCUCCCUGCACCCUAGGCCGAGCGGGCAAGUGUGCGGGCAGCGAGGCUUUGAGAGCCGGGGCAGUCGGUGCUUUAGCGGAGGAAUGUGCAAGUGCUUGCUUAUGGCGGAACGACUCGACGGCGUGCAGAGUAGAACCUGGCAGGAAAAAAUAAAAAAACAUUGGUACCGUGCCUUAAAAGACUCUUCCCACCGGUAGGGAAAAAAGCGGGUCGCUACUCCAGUGUCCACGAGCCGGUGAAAAUGUCGGAGAUCUUGUCACGAAGAGGGACGUAGUGCCAGUUUGGAGGCACGUUGACGGCGGCACCUAAAACCUUUGCCGAAACCCGGGAUCGAACCAGGGACCUUUAGAUCUUCAGUCUAACGCUCUCCCAACUGAGCUAUUUCGGCGGCUCCUGGGCAGGGUUCCUCCGCAUGUGCACAAGAAACAUUAGAGUCAUUGUGACACAUCGGGUCGGUGCGGAGGGCUAACUGGAGGUUAAGUAUACAAUAAAUAUCACAAAAGUCAGGAGACAGGCUUCCGUUAUAAGCUGGAAGUGAUAACUAACUUUUCUCGUUCGUUUCACUAACUGCUCGGCAGUCAGCUUUGCUUAUUUAAAAAUAAAUCACGAACUUCUUUUG